UCUUAUUAAAACUGGCGAAACGGGUGAGUAACGCGUAGACAACUUGCCCAAAGAUUUGGGAUAACAUCGAGAAAUUGAUGCUAAUACCGAAUAAUAUCACGAGAACCACGGUUUUGUGAUCAAAGGUGGCUUCGGCUACCGUCUUUGGAUGGGUCUGCGUCUGAUUAGCUUGUUGGUGAGGUAAUGGCUCACCAAGGCGACGAUCAGUAGCUGGUCUGAGAGGAUGAUCAGCCACACUGGGACUGAGAUACGGCCCAGACUCC
rnacentral:rRNA from 1 species